rnacentral:rRNA from 1 species
GGAGGAAAAGAAACCAACAGGGAUUGCCUUAGUAGCGGCGAGUGAAGCGGCAAAAGCUCAAAUUUGAAAUCUGGCUCUUUCAGAGUCCGAGUUGUAAUUUGAAGAAGGUAUCUUUGGGUCUGGCUCUUGUCUAUGUUUCUUGGAACAGAACGUCACAGAGGGUGAGAAUCCCGUGCGAUGAGAUGAUCCAGGCCUAUGUAAAGUUCCUUCGAAGAGUCGAGUUGUUUGGGAAUGCAGCUCUAAGUGGGUGGUAAAUUCCAUCUAAAGCUAAAUAUUGGCGAGAGACCGAUAGCGAACAAGUACAGUGAUGGAAAGAUGAAAAGAACUUUGAAAAGAGAGUGAAAAAGUACGUGAAAUUGUUGAAAGGGAAGGGCUUGAGAUCAGACUUGGUAUUUUGUAUGUUACUUCUUCGGGGGUGGCCUCUACAGUUUAUCGGGCCAGCAUCAGUUUGGGCGGUAGGAGAAUUGCGUUGGAAUGUGGCACGGCUUCGGUUGUGUGUUAUAGCCUUCGUCGAUACUGCCAGCCUAGACUGAGGACUGCGGUUUAUACCUAGGAUGUUGGCAUAAUGAUCUUAAGUCGCCCGU